rnacentral:rRNA from 1 species
GUGAACGCUGGCGGCAGGCCUAACACAUGCAAGUCGAGCGGCAGCGCGGGGGGCAACCCUGGCGGCGAGCGGCGGACGGGUGAGGAAUUCGUCGGAAUCUGCCUUUUUGUGGGGGAUAACGUAGGGAAACUUACGCUAAUACCGCAUACGACCUACGGGUGAAAGUGGGGGACCUUCGGGCCUCACGCAGAAAGAUGAGCCGACGACCGAUUAGCUAGUUGGUAGGGUAAAGGCCUACCAAGGCGACGAUCGGUAGCUG